rnacentral:rRNA from 1 species
GAUGAACGCUGGCGGCGUGCCUAAUACAUGCAAGUCGAGCGAACAGACGAGGAGCUUGCUCCUCUGACGUUAGCGGCGGACGGGUGAGUAACACGUGGAUAACCUACCUAUAAGACUGGGAUAACUUCGGGAAACCGGAGCUAAUACCGGAUAAUAUAUUGAACCGCAUGGUUCAAUAGUGAAAGACGGUUUUGCUGUCACUUAUAGAUGGAUCCGCGCCGCAUUAGCUAGUUGGUAAGGUAACGGCUUACCAAGGCGACGAUGCGUAGCCGACCUGAGAGGAUGAUCAGCCACACUGGAACUGAGACACGGUCCAGACUCCUACGGGAGGCAGCAGUAGGGAAUCUUCGGCAAUGGGCGAAAGCCUGACGGAGCCACGCCGCGUGAGUGAUGAAGGUCUUCGGAUCGUAAAGCUCUGUUAUUAGGGAAGAACAAAUGUGUAAGUACCUAUGCACGUCUUGACGGUACCUAAUCAGAAAGCCACGGCUAACUACGUG